UACGGAGGGUGCAAGCGUUGUCCGGAAUCACUGGGCGUAAAGAGCGUGUAGGCGGCCAGGUAGGUCGGUUGUGAAAACUGGAGGCUCAACCUUCAGAGGUCGACCGAAACCAUCUGGCUAGAGUCCGGGAGAGGAGAGUGGAAUUCCUGGUGUAGCGGUGAAAUGCGCAGAUAUCAGGAAGAACACCCGUGGCGAAAGCGGCUCUCUGGAACGGUACUGACGCUGAGACGCGAAAGCGUGGGGAGCGAACAGG
rnacentral:rRNA from 1 species